rnacentral:misc_RNA from 1 species
CCAAUAGCGUAUAUUAAAGUUGUUGCAGUUAAAAAGCUCGUAGUUGAAUUUCGGGGUCAGUAAGUUGGUCGUGCCACUGGUAUGUACUGGCUUUACUGAUUCCUCCUUCUUGUAGAACCGUAAUGCCAUUAAGUUGGUGUUGCGGGAAAACAGGACUGUUACUUUGAAAAAAUUAGAGUGUUUAAAGCAAGCUAACGCUUGAAUACAUUAGCAUGGAAUAAUGAAAUAGGACGAACGAUCCUAUUUUGUUGGUUUCUAGGAUUGACGUAAUGAUUAAUAGGGAUAGUUGGGGGCAUUAGUAUUCAAUUGUCAGAGGUGAAAUUCUUGGAUUUAUUGAAGACUAACUACUGCGAAAGCAUUUGCCAAGGAUGUUUUCAUUAAUCAAGAACGAAAGUUAGGGGAUCGAAGACGAUCAGAUACCGUCGUAGUCUUAACCAUAAACUAUGCCGACUAGGGAUCGGAUGAUGUUAAUUUUUUAAUGACUCAUUCGGCGCCUUACG